GCUCAUAGCAGGUGUGUCGGACUUGGUCAUGCUUAUUGGCUCCAACUGUUGAUCAGCCUUUGGAAAUUGUGAAUGAAAAUCUUUUGGGGUAUAAGCAGAAACUUGUAUUUGUAUGCUGAUCUCUCUGCAAAUACAAACUAAAUAUCCCAUUUUGAACUACAUAUUUUCAUUUGGAGAGGACAACGGGAAGGAUGUAUAUGUAGUAGCCAGCUGUGGGCUGUAUAGAGUGGUACAACCUAGUGAUUGUAAUUAUUUAUGAAAGAAAGAGAGCGUCUCUACUGGACCCUCUAAUGUCUCACAGCCAAGUCCAUCCCCAAGUCAGGUCAUGGAAGGUCCAGCAUGAACAAGAUGAGAAGGUGAAGAGGGUGAGAAGCAAUUGCAGGAACCACAGCCUGAAAGUAGAGAAAACUUGCCCAUUUCUAAAACAAAAUAAAUCAGAGAGGAAAGAAAAAUAAAAGAUGUUGAGUGUUGCUUCUUUCGUCAGGGAAUAUAUAAACACUCACUGUGAUCAUCUGGGUUUUAUCUUUGUAAUUUGUGUAUAGUGAAUGUUUAUUUUCCAUCCAAUGUCAAAGGAUCAUUGUUAAAGAGUUUGAAAUAGACGAAUGUUUUUGGUUUAUUGGAGAAAUUGAGUAGUUUUGAAUAUACUUAGAGAGAUUCAGUCUUCUUGAGUGCAAGGUCCUAACGUAAUAAGGGAUGAGGCCGAGAUCUGCUUCGAUGUUUCUGGUGAAAUGAAUAUCCCUUAGUUCUUGGCUCUUGGUAUACAAGAUUUCAGCUUAAGCGUUCUUUAUGGAAUGGGUAUUCCUUUG